GAUGAAGAACGUAGCGAAAUGCGAUACGUAAUGUGAAUUGCAGAAUUCAGUGAAUCAUCGAGUCUUUGAACGCACAUUGCGCCCCUUGGUAUUCCGGGGGGCAUGCCUGUUCGAGCGUCAUUAUAACCCCUCAAGCUCAGCUUGGUGUUGGGGCCUGCCGACUGGCAGCCCUUAAAAUCAGUGGCGGCGCCAUCUGGCUCUAAGCGUAGUAAUUUCUCUCGCUAUAGAGUCCCGGUGGAUGCUUGCCAGCAACCCCCAACUUUCUAUGGUUGACCUCGGAUCAGGUAGGGAUACCCGCUGAACUUAAGCAUAUCAAUAAGCGGAGGA
rnacentral:misc_RNA from 1 species